GCUGGGCAUGGUGGUGCAUGCCUGUAAUCCCAGCAGCUCCGGAGGCUGAGACAGGAGGAUCGUGAGUUCAAAGCUAGCCUCAGCAACAACGAGGUGCUAUGCAAUUCAGUGAGACCAUGUCUCUA
rnacentral:sRNA from 1 species